GAGUCUAAGAGGGGGAACUAGAAUUCCAGGUGUAGGGGUGAAAUCUGUAGAUAUCGGGAAGAAUACCGGAGGCGAAGGCGAGUUCCGGGCUAUAGACUGACGCUGAGGCGCGAAAGCGUGGGGAGCGAACAGGAUUAGAUACCCUGGUAGUCCACGCGGUAAACGUUGUGCACUAGGUGCUGGCCUUAUGGGGUCAGUACCGUAGCAAACGCGAUUAGUGCACCGCCUGGGGAGUAUGCUCGCAAGGGUGAAACUCAAAGGAAUUGACGGGGGCCCGCACAAGCGGUGGAGCAUGUGGUUUAAUUCGAUGAUACGCGAGUAACCUUACCAGGGCUUGACAUGUACUUGACUGCCAUAGAGAUAUGGCUUCCCUUCGGGGCAGGUAGACAGGUGCUGCAUGGCGGUCGUCAGCUCGUGCUGUGAAAUGCUGGGGUAAGUCCCGCAACGAGCGCAACCCGUACUGUGUGUUACCAGCAUGUAAUGAUGGGGACUCAGACGGCACUGCUCGGUGACAAACCUGGAGGAAGGUCGGGGAUGACGUCAAGUCAUCAUGGCCCUUAUGUCUUGGGCUACACACGGGUCUACCAAAUGGUUGGUAUCAGCGUGACGCAAGACCGCGAGGUGGAGCA
rnacentral:rRNA from 1 species